rnacentral:lncRNA from 1 species
GUUUGUGUGGUAAUCCAGGCACACUCUCAAACAAUAUUUUUAUUUUCAGUCUGGUUCACAGGCGGCAACUGCCAUGUGCGACAAGCUUAAGAGCUACCUCCAUUCCAAGAGAACCGCCAAGCAGAGCACACCCCUCCGUAGCUCUACUCCUGCUCCAGAUCACUCUGAUGACUCGGAUGAAACAUCCUGUGAUUUAUUUGGGCCGUUCAAAAGGCGGAAGGUGGUACUAACAAGUGAGGAGGAGGGAGAUGACUGCAUUCCACAGGAGGAGCCAGAGCACCAGACGGAGCCAGAGGGCCAGCAGCAACCAGUGAAGGUUCUGGUGGAACUAGAGGAGGAGACUUUGAAGGCUCUGAAAGAGCUUCCAGGAUUGGUUGCUGCCAUCAAAACAGCACUGGAGAAACUACCAUCAGCAUGCACCAGUUCCACCCUCAGCCAGAGUGACUGCCAGCAAACUCCAGGAUCUGAAACUAGCGGUGACGACUUGAUGUUCCUGGGCAACUCCGCCGUCCAGGUCUCAAAACGGCUCUUCAAUAGAAUCGGCAGCAGACGUUUGUCGCUUUUCACACAGGAGCUGGCCACAAUGAUCUUUGGGAAAGAGACCCUGGCCAAGUCAACCCUUACUGGAAAGGGGAAAAAAGGGGAGGCCAAAUAUCAACUUGACCCUGAAAAGGUCGAAGCCAUCAUAGGUACAGAUAAUCAUACUAUAAUAGCAGGAAUCUCUGUAUGUCUGUCAGUAUGUCGAUUAUCUCGACGGCUUCACACUUGGCGGUUGUAUUGCUCGGGACCCAAGGGAUAGCGAUGUCAAGUUUAAAGUUGUUUGGAUGAGCGGUUCUCACGAAAGUGCUUACUUUCCAUCCAGGCGCAGUGUCACAUCAUGGCAACCAUAUAGGCCAGGGAAUGUGAAGUUGACGCACACGUGUUGGAUUGUGCGCAGUGUAGUGUCGAGUGUGAAGUCGAUCGGAUGAGCUUCAGUUGGAACGCACGCUCCGAUUGGGCACGCGCUCCGAACGGGCACGCCCCCAUGGGCACAAGCACUAGUCUGUGUCAAUGCAAUAUAUUGUUUAUCUUAAGUCUUAAAUCACAUGCGUCCUUCCUGUUUUCACAGACACGGUGAGGGAGAAAUUCCCCAACACCACGGUCAGCGAGAUCCGGGCCCUGCUGCGGAGGAAAUGCAACAAUGAGGGCUACACCAAGGUUGCUCCUCAGUAGCUUUAUUCUAUAUGUUAUAUAUGUUAGACGUUAUAAAGUUAGGUGUUGUUGAAUGUAUGUUUGUAUUAAUAUUUGAAUUAAAGUUUUGGUUUGUACAAUUAAA